AGGUGACGGUGUUGAGACAGGUGACGGUGUUGAGACAGGUGACGGUGUUGAGACAGGUGACGGUGUUGAGACAGGUGACGGUGUUGAGACAGGUGACCGUGUUGAGACAGGUGACCGUGUUGAGACAGGUGACCGUGUUGAGACAGGUGACCGUGUUGAGACAGGUGACAGUAUUAAGACAGGUGACAGCAUUGAAAAAGGUGACCGUAUUGAAACAGGUGACAAUAUUGAGACAGGUGACAGUAUUGAGACAGGUGACAGUAUUAAGAGUAUUGAGACAUGUGACAGUAUUAAGAGUAUUGUAACAGUAUUAAGAGUAUUGAGACAGGUGACAGUAUUGAGACAGGUGACAGUAUUGAGACAGGUGACAGUAUUGAGACAGGUGACAGUAUUGAGACAGGUGACAGUAUUGAGACAGGUGACAGUAUUGAGACUGGUGACAGUAUUGAGACUGGUGACAGUAUUAAGAGUAUUGAGACAUGUGACAGUAUUAACAGUAUUGUGAAAGUAUUAAGAGUAUUGAGACAGGUGACAGUAUUAAGAGUAUUGAGACAAGUGACAGUAUUAACAGUAUUGUGAAAGUAUUAAGAGUAUUGAGACAGGUGACAGUAUUAAGAGUAUUGAGACAGGUGACAGUAUUGAGACAGGUGACAGUAUUGAGACAGGUGACAGUGUUGAGACAGGUGACAGUAUUGAGAGUAUUGAGAUAGGUGACAGUAUUGAGACAGGUGACAAUAUUUAGACAGGUGACCGUAUUGAGACAGGUGACCGUGUUGAGACAGGUGACGGUGUUGAGACAGGUGACGGUGUUGAGACAGGUGACGGUGUUGAGACAGGUGACGGUGUUGAGACAGGUGACGGUGUUGAGACAGGUGACGGUGUUGAGACAGGUGACGGUGUUGAGACAGGUGACGGUGUUGAGACAGGUGACGGUGUUGAGACAGGUGACCGUGUUGAGACAGGUGACGGUGUUGAGACAGGUGACCGUGUUGAGACAGGUGACCGUGUUGAGACAGGUGACCGUGUUGAGACAGGUGACCGUGUUGAGACAGGUGACAGUAUUAAGACAGGUGACAGCAUUGAAAAAGGUGACCGUAUUGAAACAGGUGACAAUAUUGAGACAGGUGACAGUAUUGAGACAGGUGACAGUAUUAAGAGUAUUGAGACAUGUGACAGUAUUGAGACAGGUGACAGUAUUAAGAGUAUUGUGACAGUAUUAAGAGUAUUGAGACAGGUGACAGUAUUGAGACAGGUGACAGUAUUAAGAGUAUUGUGACAGUAUUAAGAGUAUUGAGACAGGUGACAGUAUUGAGACAGGUGACAGUAUUGAGACAUGUGACAGUAUUAAGAGUAUUGUGAGAGUAUUAAGAGUAUUGAGACAGGUGACAGUAUUAAGAGUACUGUGACAGUAUUAAGAGUAUUGAGACAGGUGACAGUAUUGUGACGGUAUUGAGACAGGUGACCGUAUUGAUACUGGUGACAGUAUUGAGACAGGUGACAGUAUUAAGAGUAUUGAGACAUGUGACAGUAUUAAGAGUAUUGUAACAGGUGACAGUAUUGAGAGAGGUGACAGUAUUAAGAGUAUUGUGACAGGUGACAGUAUUGAGACAUGUGACAGUAUUAAGAGUAUUGUGACAGUAUUAAGAGUAUUGAGACAGGUUACAGUAUUGUGACAGUACUGAGACAGGUGACAGUAUUGAGACAGGUGACAGUAUUGAGACAGGUGACAGUAUUGAGACAGGUGACAGUAUUGAGACAGGUGGCAGUAUUGAGACAGGUGACAGUAUUGAGACUGGUGACAGUAUUGAGACUGGUGACAGUAUUAAGAGUAUUGAGACAUGUGACAGUAUUAAGAGUAUUGUGACAGUAUUAAGAGUAUUGAGACAGGUGACAGUAUUGAGACAGGUGACAGUAUUGAGACAGGUGACAGUAUUGAGACAGGUGACAGUAUUGAGACAGGUGACAGUAUUGAGACAGGUGACAGUAUUGAGACAGGUGACAGUAUUGAGACAGGUGACAGUAUUAAGAGUAUUGAGACAAGUGACAGUAUUAACAGUAUUGUGACAGUAUUAAGAGUAUUGAGACAGGUGACAGUAUUAAGAGUAUUGAGACAGGUGACAGUAUUAAGAGUAUUGUGACAGUAUUGAGACAGGUGACAGUAUUAAGAGUAUUGUGACAGUAUUAAGAGUAUUGAGACAGGUGACAGUAUUGAGACAGGUGACAGUAUUGAGACAGGUGACAAUAUUGAUACUGGUGACAGUAUUGAGACAGGUGACAGUA